UGGGGAAUUUUGGACAAUGGGCGCAAGCCUGAUCCAGCAAUGCCGCGUGCAGGAAGAAGGCCUUCGGGUUGUAAACUGCUUUUGUACGGAACGAAACGGUCCUGGUUAAUACCUGGGGCUAAUGACGGUACCGUAAGAAUAAGCACCGGCUAACUACGUGCCAGCAGCCGCGGUAAUACGUAGGGUGCGAGCGUUAAUCGGAAUUACUGGGCGUAAAGCGUGCGCAGGCGGUUUUGUAAGACAGGCGUGAAAUCCCCGGGCUCAACCUGGGAAUUGCGCUUGUGACUGCAAGGCUGGAGUGCGGCAGAGGGGGAUGGAAUUCCGCGUGUAGCAGUGAAAUGCGUAGAUAUGCGGAGGAACACCGAUGGCGAAGGCAAUCCCCUGGGCCUGCACUGACGCUCAUGCACGAAAGCGUGGGGAGCAAACA
rnacentral:rRNA from 1 species